rnacentral:lncRNA from 1 species
AGGGGUUUUGAUCUAAAUUGAUCAUGUAUAAACCUAAUUGCUAGGUUUUCUGACGCGUUGGCGAAGUCGGUUCGGCGAUACGAUGAGCGUACGCGAAGAUAUUAAAGAAUGAAGCCGUUAAGGUACAGAUUGCCGCAGCUUGCGGCGAAAGCUUCCAAAAAUCAUGAAAAUGGAAUUGUAGCAUCGUGGUAUCGGGGAAUAAACUCCAGAAUAGACGGAUCGCGGAUUGGUGGCCGUUCGGGUGGUCGCGCAAGAGUUUGGCCCGAACCGGAUCACGAGUGCCGCGGGAAGCCGAUUGUAAGUGUCGACAAGCAAUCGGAACGCGAUAAAAGGUGGGGGGUGUCCAUCCCGAAGCAACUGAGCUUCCUUUUAUGUCUAAGUUCUAUAUCUUGAUCAUAUUCCUAUAUGUUGAUAUAUUGUGCAUUAUAGGAUUAGUAGAUGAUUACAUUUCCAUUCCUUGCAUGUUACCUAGGUUGUGUAGCAUUGUGGGCUUGACACUUGAUCUUAGGUUGCAUGAGGAUUGGGUCUUGUGACAAGAAUCCUAUAGUGACAAGAAUGAUGAUGAACUUGGACAUGUAAUUGGCCUAGAUGAGUGGCAAUUGGACUAGUCUAAUAAUGACUAUAAUAUUGACGAGUGGCAUGUUGAUUUAGUGUAUUAAGACACAUAUAACAUCAUGACAUAAACGAGUGGCAUCAAAUCUAGUGUAGUGGAACACUAUGGCAUUUGAACCUAGGGAUAGUAGAUUUUUCCGAUUGUCAUAUUGUAGACAUUAUGCAUUUGGCAUUAGUGCAUUUGAGGCAUUAAUUAUGCAUUUGGUAUUGUGCAGCAGAGGCACAUUGAUUAUGCAUUUGGUAUUGUGCAGCAGAGGCAUGAACACUAUGACAUUUGAACCUAGGGAUAGUAGAUUUUUCCGAUUGUCAUAUUGUGAACAUUAUGCAUUUGGCAUUAGUGCAUUUGAGGCAUUGAUUAUGCAUUUGGUAUUGUGCAGCAGAGGCACAUUGACCCUGGCACAUUGAUUAUGCAUUUGGUAUUGUGCAGCAGAGGCACAUUGACCCUGGUAGAUAGGGUAUCCUCUUGUGAGGAUUGGAUCAUACUCACUAGUCUGUUCUUGCUUGUCGGUGGUCGCUCCAACGAAGCACGAGUCUCCGGAGUACUUCACUAGGGGCAGACGUAGUUGUCCCGCAGACGGUCUCGGUGUGCGAGUGCAGAUUCUCCUCACCUAUGAGAUUGAGAGUGAGUCGAGG